CUACGUGCCAGCAGCCGCGGUAAUACGGAAGGUCCAGGCGUUAUCCGGAUUUAUUGGGUUUAAAGGGAGUGUAGGCGGUUUGUUAAGCGUGUUGUGAAAUUUAGGUGCUCAACAUUUAACUUGCAGCGCGAACUGUCAGACUUGAGUACACGCAACGUAUGCGGAAUUCAUGGUGUAGCGGUGAAAUGCUUAGAUAUGACGAAGAACUCCGAUUGCGAAGGCAGCUGACGGGAGCGCAACUGACGCUUAAGCUCGAAGGUGCGGGUAUCAAACAGGAUUAGAUACCCUGGUAGUCCGCACAGUAAACGAUGGAUGCCCGCUGUUGGUGCCUGGUAUCAGCGGCUAAGCGAAAGCAUUAAGCAUCCCACCUGGGGAGUACGCCGGCAACGGUGAAACUCAAAGGAAUUGACGGGGGCCCGCGCAAGCGGAGGAACAUGUGGUUUAAUUCGAUGAUACGCGAGGAACCUUACCCGGGCUUGAA
rnacentral:rRNA from 1 species